GACGAACGCUGGCGGCGUGCCUAAUACAUGCAAGUUGAGCGCUGAAGGUUGGUACUUGUACCAACUGGAUGAGCAGCGAACGGGUGAGUAACGCGUGGGGAAUCUGCCUUUGAGCGGGGGACAACAUUUGGAAACGAAUGCUAAUACCGCAUAAAAACUUUAAACACAAGUUUUAAGUUUGAAAGAUGCAAUUGCAUCACUCAAAGAUGAUCCCGCGUUGUAUUAGCUAGUUGGUGAGGUAAAGGCUCACCAAGGCGAUGAUACAUAGCCGACCUGGGAGGGUGAUCGGCCACAUUGGGACUGAGACACGGCCCAAACUCCUACGGGAGGCAGCAGUAGGGAAUCUUCGGCAAUGGACGAAAGUCUGACCGAGCAACGCCGCGUGAGUGAAGAAGGUUUUCGGAUCGUAAAACCCUGUUGGUAGAGAAGAACGUUGGUGAGAGUGGAAAGCUCAUCAAGUGACGGUAACUACCCAGAAAGGGACGGCUAACUACGUG
rnacentral:rRNA from 1 species